UACGUAGGGUGCAAGCGUUGUCCGGAAUUAUUGGGCGUAAAGAGCUCGUAGGCGGUUUGUUGCGUCGGCUGUGAAAUCCCGAGGCUCAACCUCGGGUCUGCAGUCGAUACGAGCAAACUAGAGUGUUGCAGGGGAGACUGGAAUUCCUGGUGUAGCGGUGAAAUGCGCAGAUAUCAGGAGGAACACCGGUGGCGAAGGCGGGUCUCUGGGCAAUAACUGACGCUGGAGGAGCGAAAGCGUGGGGAGCGAACAGG
rnacentral:rRNA from 1 species